UGGGGAAUAUUGGACAAUGGGGGAAACCCUGAUCCAGCAAUGCCGCGUGAGUGAUGAAGGCCUUAGGGUUGUAAAGCUCUUUCGCACGCGACGAUGAUGACGGUAGCGUGAGAAGAAGCCCCGGCUAACUUCGUGCCAGCAGCCGCGGUAAUACGAAGGGGGCUAGCGUUGUUCGGAAUUACUGGGCGUAAAGCGCACGCAGGCGGCUCGUUGAAUUAGAAGUGAAAGCCCUGGGCUCAACCCGGGAAUUGCUUUUAAGACUGGCGAGCUAGAGUCCGGAAGAGGGUAGUGGAAUUCCCAGUGUAGAGGUGAAAUUCGUAGAUAUUGGGAAGAACACCGGUGGCGAAGGCGGCUACCUGGUCCGGUACUGACGCUCAGGUGCGAAAGCGUGGGGAGCAAACAGGAUUAGAUACCCGCGUAGUCC
rnacentral:rRNA from 1 species